GGGCGGGGGGGCUAUACAUGCAAGUCGAGCGAACAGACAAGGAGCUUGCUCCUUUGACGUUAGCGGCGGACGGGUGAGUAACACGUGGGUAACCUACCUAUAAGACUGGGAUAACUUCGGGAAACCGGAGCUAAUACCGGAUAAUAUUUCGAACCGCAUGGUUCGAUAGUGAAAGAUGGUUUUGCUAUCACUUAUAGAUGGACCCGCGCCGUAUUAGCUAGUUGGUAAGGUAACGGCUUACCAAGGCGACGAUACGUAGCCGACCUGAGAGGGUGAUCGGCCACACUGGAACUGAGACACGGUCCAGACUCCUACGGGAGGCAGCAGUAGGGAAUCUUCCGCAAUGGGCGAAAGCCUGACGGAGCAACGCCGCGUGAGUGAUGAAGGUCUUCGGAUCGUAAAACUCUGUUAUUAGGGAAGAACAUACGUGUAAGUAACUAUGCACGUCUUGACGGUACCUAAUCAGAAAGCCACGGCUAACUACGUGCCAGCAGCCGCGGUAAUACGUAGGUGGCAAGCGUUAUCCGGAAUUAUUGGGCGUAAAGCGCGCGUAGGCGGUUUUUUAAGUCUGAUGUGAAAGCCCACGGCUCAACCGUGGAGGGUCAUUGGAAACUGGAAAACUUGAGUGCAGAAGAGGAAAGUGGAAUUCCAUGUGUAGCGGUGAAAUGCGCAGAGAUAUGGAGGAACACCAGUGGCGAAGGCGACUUUCUGGUCUGUAACUGACGCUGAUGUGCGAAAGCGUGGGGAUCAAACAGGAUUAGAUACCCUGGUAGUCCACGCCGUAAACGAUGAGUGCUAAGUGUUAGGGGGUUUCCGCCCCUUAGUGCUG
rnacentral:rRNA from 1 species